rnacentral:lncRNA from 1 species
GUCCAUUGCCACACACCUUCAAGCGUCACAAGAAGUAUUGGCCUGCCAAAAAGUAUCCCCCCGACCUUACACGGUUCAGUCAGGGCCGGGCACCCUUCCCAGGACCUUCACUCAUACUGGGUGCAGCAAGGCAUGCCGGCCUACCGAGCCACCUCCCAGGGCCGGGUCGCUAGCCAGAGCUAUACGUCCUGUACCCAUUUACGUUGGGUCAUCGUCGGAUCGAAGUCCUCCCAUCGAGCGUGACUGCCCACC